AUGGGACAUUUGUACAAUCCACAUAUGAAGAUAAGGAAGAAAGAGAUGUUCAUUUGCUGUCCAAAAAGUUCUCUCACGUCACUUUUGGCCCAAGAGAAGAUAGAGUCCAAGUCUCUCACGUUCUGGAUUCAGAUUCGGACUGCACAGACAUACCUGACUCAAAACGCACACAAGUUUUUCAUACGGACUCCGAAUUGGGUGAUUCUUUUUUUGUUGGAAACUAGAUUUCGUGCACUUUCCAACCCAAUUGGAAUCACCUUCAAAUUCGUCCGGAGCGUUGAGUUGUGGACGAAACAAUCUGAUGCUGCAGCAGAAUCCGAGUCAAACUACAAGUCCAAAGGUGUUACAUCACCUCCACUUGGGCCAAUUGGCCUUGUACGACCUAGAUUUAGUUUUAGGCUGCCUUGGGACGUCCUCCCACCUCCUUGGCCGCCACCCCUUGCUCCUAUAUAA
rnacentral:rRNA from 1 species